GGGGAUAUAGCUCAAUUGGUAGAGUGUUUGCCUAGCAUAAGACUUAGGUUUGAGCCCCACCAUCACCA
rnacentral:tRNA from 1 species